rnacentral:rRNA from 1 species
AUUGAACGCUGGCGGCAGGCCUAACACAUGCAAGUCGAACGGUAACAGGAAACAGCUUGCUGUUUCGCUGACGAGUGGCGGACGGGUGAGUAAUGUCUGGGAAACUGCCUGAUGGAGGGGGAUAACUACUGGAAACGGUAGCUAAUACCGCAUAACGUCGCAAGACCAAAGAGGGGGACCUUCGGGCCUCUUGCCAUCGGAUGUGCCCAGAUGGGAUUAGCUUGUUGGUGGGGUAACGGCUCACCAAGGCGACGAUCCCUAGCUGGUCUGAGAGGAGGACGAGCCACACUGGAACUGAGACACGGUCCAGACUCCUACGGGAGGCAGCAGUGGGGAAUAUUGAACAAUGGGCGCAAGCCUGAUGCAGCAAUGCCGCGUGUAUGAAGAAGGCCUUCGGGUUGUAAAGUACUUUCAGCGGGGAGGAAGGGAGUAAAGUUAAUACCUUUACUCAUUAACGUUACCCGCAGAAGAAGCACCGGCUAACUCCGUGCCAGCCGCCGCCGUAA